CCUACGGGAGGCAGCAGUGGGGAAUAUUGCACAAUGGGGGGAACCCUGAUGCAGCAAUGCCGCGUGAAGGAUGAAGGUUUUCGGAUUGUAAACUUCUUUUGUACGGGACGAAGAAAGUGACGGUACCGUAAGAAUAAGCCAAGGCUAACUACGUGCCAGCAGCCGCUGUGAUACGUAGGUGGCAAGCGGUAUACGGAGUUACUGGGUGUAAAGGGCGAGGAGGCGGGAUUGGAAGUCAGAUGUGAAAACUAUGGGCUCAACCGAUAGAGUGCAUUUGAAACUGAAGUUCUUGAGGGGGCGAGAAGUAUGCGGAAUGCGUGGUGUAGCGGUGAAAUGCAGAGAGAUCACGCAGAACUCCGAUUGCGAAGGCAGCAUACCGGCGCCAGACUGACGCUGAGGCACGAAAGCGUGGGGAUCGAACAGGAUUAGAUACCCGGGUAGUC
rnacentral:rRNA from 1 species